rnacentral:rRNA from 1 species
AACGAACGCUGGCGGCAGGCUUAACACAUGCAAGUCGAACGCAUGCCUUCGGGCAUGAGUGGCAGACGGGUGACUAACGCCUGGUAACUUACCCCUUGGUACGCGAUAUCUCCGGGAAACUGGAGAUAAUACCGUAUGUGCCCUUAGGGACUAAGAUUCUUCGCCAAGGGAUGUGCCCGCGUCGGAUUAGCUAGCUGGUGGGGUAACGGCCUACCAAGGCGACGAUCCGUAGCUGGGCUAAGAGGAUGAGCAGCAACAUUGGUACUGAGCCACGGACCAAAAUCUUACGGGAGGAAGCAGUGGGGAAUAUUGGACAAUGGGCGAAAGACUGAUCCAGCCAGGCUGCGUGAGUGAUGAAGGUCGGAGGGAUGUAAAGAUCUUUCAACGGUGAAGAUAAUGACGGUAACCGAAGAAGAAGCCCCGGCUAACUACGUG